UGCAAGUCGAGCGCGGGAAGCUUGUCUGAUCCCUUCGGGGUGACGCGAGUGGAACGAGCGGCGGACGGGUGAGUAACACGUGGGCAACCUGCCUGUAAGACUGGGAUAACUCCGGGAAACCGGGGCUAAUACCGGAUAAUACAUUGCUUCGCAUGAAGCAAUGUUGAAAGAUGGCUUUUAGCUAUCACUUACAGAUGGGCCCGCGGCGCAUUAGCUAGUUGGUAAGGUAAUGGCUUACCAAGGCAACGAUGCGUAGCCGACCUGAGAGGGUGAUCGGCCACACUGGGACUGAGACACGGCCCAGACUCCUACGGGAGGCAGCAGUAGGGAAUCUUCCGCAAUGGACGAAAGUCUGACGGAGCAACGCCGCGUGAACGAAGAAGGUUUUCGGAUCGUAAAGUUCUGUUGUUAGGGAAGAACAAGUACCGUUCAAAUAGGGCGGUACCUUGACGGUACCUAUCGAGGAAGCCCCGGCUAACUACGUGCCAGCAGCCGCGGUAAUACGUAGGGGGCAAGCGUUGUCCGGAAUUAUUGGGCGUAAAGCGCGCGUAGGCGGUUUCUUAAGUCUGAUGUGAAAUCUUGCGGCUCAACCGCAAGCGGCCAUUGGAAACUGAGGAACUUGAGUGCAGAAGAGGAGAGCGGAAUUCCACGUGUAGCGGUGAAAUGCGUAGAUAUGUGGAGGAACACCAGUGGCGAAGGCGGCUCUCUGGUCUGUAACUGACGCUGAGGUGCGAAAGCGUGGGGAGCGAACAGGAUUAGAUACCCUGGUAGUCCACGCCGUAAACGAUGAGUGCUAGGUGUUAGGGGGUUUCCGCCCCUUAGUGCUGCAGUUAACGCAUUAAGCACUCCGCCU
rnacentral:rRNA from 1 species